GGACAGCUGUUACCGUCGGGAAUUUUGAAACUGCCUCUGGUGUCUCCGUGGUUUUGUGGUUUGAGGUCACAAAACCCUUCUCACGCUGAGCGGCUGUGGGAAGGUAGGUUGGCUAAGGCAUUAGAGAUGAGCCACUUUCUGGUAUUGAAAGUGUUCUAUCCUUAAGAACUGUCAAUAUUUUAACAUAACUUUGCUUUCUUAGUACAAAAGCAAUACGUGGUCACAGGAGGGAAGGUAGAAAAGCAACAUAAAAAUGAAAACCUGUCAUCCAGCCAUUGCUGCAGCUCCCGCUCGGGGCGCCUCCCACUGCGGGCAGAUCAGGAGCGUCCUGCUUGUAAAUGCUGUGAUGAAGCGUAGCAGGGAGCUGUGCGUCCGCAUCUCCCAAAGAGGAGCUUGGGAUAUGGCCUGGUGCCCAGGAGCCAAAGGCUCCGUCCAGAUGCCCGGGUUGAAUUCUGGCUCUGUCCUUUCAUUUGCUGCGUGACUUUGGUCCGGUCGCCUAAGACCUCUGCACCUCAUUUUCCUCACCUAUACAAUGGAGAUAAUCCGAGUGCCUACUGGCACCUCCCAGAAUUGUUAUGCAGAUUAAAUAAGAGCUAGAACGGUGCCUGGUUGAUGCACAUGUGUUGACACGGAGAGUGGGUGAAGGGCAGUCAUUAAAUGAAUAAAAAGUAAGUUGCAUUGCUCUGUUCAGUAAGUCCCCGCUGAUGCUUAAAAAUGAAGAUACACGCAUGGACAUUGUCUCAAAGGGUACGAAAGAACUGGGAUGGUGGCUGUUUCUGGUAAGUGAAGGAAAUGUGGGGAGACGAGGAAGGCUUUUGUUACUUUGAUACCCUCUGUUUUGCUCUUGUUUUCACAACAGCCUGUAUUAAGUAGAUGAUUAAAAUAGCUUUAUUUACC